AUAUAAAUAACACAUAAAUCUGUAAACAUAAGCAUGUGUCUCUGUCACCUUCCCUUCCCAGGCUGGAUGGAGAUUGCUUUCUUCACUAGUGAGCUGGGAUAUUUCUAGAGAUAAUCUGGGAUUUCAUCCAGGCACGCGUCCGCCCUACUGCUGUUGGUUUUCUCGGCUGAGUGGCUGCUCUGUUUGUGGCCACACCCCCUGCCCUGAAUGCAUCAGAUCUGAUGGGGAAACAAAGGCAAAGAGCGCUGGGCACAUAGUUCAGCAGGAGAGCAUGCGCUCAGCACACUCAUAGCUCUGGGUUUUACUGGCAGAAUAAAGGCACAUGGACGCUAAGUGAAUGGCUUGAUGUCUUCUCAUUUAAGAUUCCUGGUGGAGCGCCAAACGUGGGCUUGAAGUAUUAGGAAAUCAAAAAUAUGCAGGUCGGUGGGAGCCAAUGGGCCCUUAUGGGCGUCUUUUCUUCAAAGAAGGUAUUUUUCUACAAUGUAAA